CAGCUGACUGAUCGAAGUGGAACAGAUCUCUGCUCGCUCGCCUACAAACACACAAGAUGACCAUCGCUGUCUUUAUCAUCUUCAUGGCCACUCUUGCCCUUGUUGAUGGUUUAAAUUGUCUGACAGACACAAAUAAAGAUCCGCACGACGAAUUUCUUUGCAGAUACACCCUUCGGCAAACAUUUAACAGAACAGAUUGGACUGAAUGGAAAAGGUACCUAACGAGGGUUGGCCUCUGCAAUACACCAAGUCACACCUUCAUGGACAACUCGGAUCUCUUGGCCUGGGAGAUCUGUCAAAGCUCUAGAUGUGAUAAAAAUGGGAAAUUAUGUACCAGUAAGAACCGCAUGACCCUGUACUAUGUCGAAAACAACCCCGACUGCACACUUACGUCUGUAAAUCAACAACGACUCUAUGGGAUUGUGACUUGUGAGAGACUUGGUAAAUAUUGCAAACCUGUCGAUUUUAGGAGAUCUGUCCACAAAUACACACAGUGGGUUGCUAAGCCCUGUCAAUAAUAGAAAAGUUAAAACGUUUUUAGAGGCGUUAGAAGACAUUGGAGUCCAGUUCUAAACCUCUGUCAAGCUUAGCUUAAUUAGGCCUUUUUUGCUUACAUGAAAACAUGUUAUUUUGUUCUUAUGCUGCAUUAUAACACCUGUUACUUGUUGACCUCGGUCAUUAUAACUUGUGGCUACAUGGGAUUAACAUCUAGAUUCUCGGCUAUUUUCAAUGUAAUCAGAAACUGUACACACACCUGUUUGUUGAAAGUUUAUUGUCAUCUUACCUCAAAGUGAAUUGGUUGAUUGUCUAUAGUAAACUGUCGGUUAUCAUCUUUUAUAACGUGUCAAUUCAGAUAAUUGUCAGUCCGUGAAAAACUAUCAAACUAGACUAAGCGUUAUUUGACCCAAAAAGGUCUCACAUCAAAGGAUCGACCAAAGCACCAUAACAAGUUUCCUUUCUUAGAGUUUAAUAUUCCCCACAGCUGUGUGUACUUUCUCUGUUACUGAAAGUGUUUGUGAAGCUGUAUUCAAAUCCUGUUUGUGUUGCUCUAAAUAUUGUCAAAUAAAUGGCUUGAAGCAUCAAUCAAUA